UAAAUUUUGUUUACGCUAGCACCUAAGGUAGCGUUUACUUUUUGGAUUGGAUUGGGAAUCCUGAGGAGUGGGAAUCCUAGGAUUGGGAGUGUGGAGUGGGAGUGGGAGUAGGUUGUUUACUUACACUGGAAUGGAAGUAUGGAUUAGAGAUCAGAAUCUAAUUUAUGUGUUUACUUUGUCUUGGAUUGGGAGUAAAUAGUUUCAAAUUACAAUUUUAUCCUUAUUUAAAGAAUUAUAGUUUUUAAUUACAAAACUAAUAA
rnacentral:lncRNA from 1 species